UACGUAGGUGGCGAGCGUUGUCCGGAUUUACUGGGCGUAAAGAGCGCGCAGGCGGUCGUACAAGUCGCGUGUGAAAGCCCCCGGCUCAACUGGGGAGGGUCACGCGAUACUGUUCGACUCGAAGGCAGGAGAGGGAAGUGGAAUUCCCGGUGUAGUGGUGAAAUGCGUAGAUAUCGGGAGGAACACCGGUGGCGAAGGCGGCAUCCUGGACCAAUAUUGACGCUGAGGAGCGAAAGCCAGGGGAGCAAACGGG
rnacentral:rRNA from 1 species